AUGAGGAGCCCCAAGCUGUGCAGUCCAGACACGCUUCUAUCUUCAGAGGUUGAGGAUCCCCAAGCCCUGAAGUCCAGACACGCUUUUAUCAGAGACGCAGCGUCUCAGUCAACCCUGAAAGUCACCCAGUGGCCCCCGGUUGCUGUAGUGAGCCUGCGCCAGUCUGUAGAGAUGAAUUGCAACCAGAGUGCUGCUAAUAUCUACAUGUACUGGUAUCGACAGCAAAACUCCAGUGAGCUUCAACUGGUCUUUUACUCUCCAUACGGCAGCGAUCCAGAAAAGGGUGAAAACAUCCCUGAUAGAUUUACUAUCUCCAGGACACAGAUGGAGAGAAUCACUCUAAAUAUAAAGAAUGCUGAUGCUGCAGACACUGGAGUGUAUUACUGUGCAGCUAGUGCCACAGUACACAAACCUAUCAGUCUUCCUGUCUGA